UGGCAACACCCAAUCCUCCAGGUGAGGACAUACAAGAAACUCCAGAACAACAAAAAGUUUCAGGACAACUUCAGAUUUGGAGAAUUUCCAAAACCACAUACUCAUGUAUGCAGGAAAGCGGUUUGCCUACAGCCCCCCUGUUUACAAAACCCAGACAUUGCUUGCAACAAUCGAUUACAACUAUCACAACCACCGCAUUCCUGCACGUGGCAAGGAUGGACACCGAAUGUACAGACAGUACUUCAACAAGAAGUCCGAGCACUGGAAGGAGAGCAAAGGCUACCAUUACAUUCCAGACCUGCAGAAGGCCAUCCUUGCUGAGAGGCUGGGAAGUGGAAUGGGCCUUCCAAGAAUACAGGGUCUAAGGCCUGAUGAUCCCAGGCGCUUGGGUUUGCUUGCCGCAACGCAGCCU